GUACCAUAAUGCAAUUGGAUAAAGACGCAUCGUUGAUUGAAUUCUGCCAAUCGAAUUCUGAAAGUGGAGACGUUCAGUAUGGCGUCACUGAACACUAAUAUGCUGCCUUCAGCCAAUCAGCGCGCACUAGUCUGGGAGGCUUAUCGCUCCGCAGCGUUUUGUCUUGAAGUCUCAUCUGCCGCACGGAGAAGCGAGGAGUUGACGUGAUUUUUUGAAAAUAAUUUAAGGAAUUUUGUAGAGUCCGCCCCCCCUUUUUUUUUGUUUUGUUUUCAAGCAGCAUGCUGCAAGCGGAUGGUUUUAGAAGAACUCGGCUUUUGCACAUUUCUUUCCCGUGGUCGCACAUCUGAAGACUGAGCGCUGUUCAGUGUUCUGCUCCUCCUCACGAUGCUCUGCUCUCAUCAGCUGGUCUCCGGUGCGAUUAUUACAGGUUAUCACAAUGAAUGCUGUCUGAAGUACCACAAAGGCAUCAUACCAAUCAAGCAAAUUGUCUCAUACUACAAGACCAGCAGCGACUGUCCCAAACAGGCUAUUGUGUUUCGGACUAGAAGAAACUCUACCUUCUGUGUUGAAGAACACCUGCCUUGGGUCCAAAGGCAUAUUGCUAAACUGCAAAUGGCUCUAGCGAUGACAACACCAUAAACUACUUCCAAAAACAAAGUCUUAAUAUUACAUCAGUGACAGAACAUUGUGCUACACAGAGAAGAGAGGAGAAGAGAAAUGAAUGUUUCCAUUUUAUAUGUAUUACUUUACCAAAGUUUAUUUCUCUUAUGAGAGCUAUAUGUUUUCUUUUUUUUUUUUAAAUUUCCUUACAGAAAUGUUAAUGUUUUAACAGCUGUGCUCGGGUGUUUUCUCAUAAGACAGAAUGAUAUAGUGACACAAAUACAGAAUGACAGAUUUGACAGUCAGAAUGAAUGUCAGCACCUUAAAAUCUGAUUAAGCCUACUUAUGCACACUAGUGUUAGGUUAUGUCAUCAUUCAUAAUAAGGUACAUAAAGAAACAAACUAUUAUAAUCAAAGAAAUUGUUUUUUAAAAAAAAAAUUCAAUCAUUACAUGCCACAGUGGCAGUAUUUUACAAAAAGGCUGAAAAAAUGUUUGUCUUAUUGAGUGCAUUGCGUUUGGAAAGCCAAUGUCUGAUGGAAAGAAACUUAGGUUAAUGUAACAGUGUCUAGGUAUAGUAAUUGCAUAAAAAAAAUUGUUUACAUAGUAAAUUAGGAGGGAUAUGAAAGCUGGUUCCCCUCAAGAGCAAGGUGAAUGGUGUGAGAAACAUGGAAAUUAUACAAAAGCAAGAGAUCUGUGACAUUUCAUCUCUCAGCAUAAAAGUGGUCCAAAAUGCAUGGCAAAAGGGAUGCCUGAAAAUGGAAUCAGUAUUUUUGGAGUGGCCUAUUCAAAGCUGAAACCAAUUGUGAAUAUGUGGUAUGAUCUGAAAAUGUGUACCCAUCAAUGUAACUUUUUAUAUCUUGGGUAUAUUUUACCAUACAGGAAUAACAAAAAAAAAACAUUAAAAAAUCUACAUUUUGAAGAA